AGGUCAAGCAAGAAAGAGCGCAGGGUGGAUGCCUUGGCACUAAGAGCCGAAGAAAGACGUGAUAAGCUGCGAAAAGCCACGGGGAGGAGCAAAUAUCCCUUGAUCCGUGGAUGUCUGAAUGGGGAAACCCACAUGAGAACACCUCAUGUAUCCAUACGCCAAUCCAUAACGUAUGGAAGGGAACCCGGUGAACUGAAACAUCUAAGUAGCCGGAGGAAGAGAAAGAAAAAUCGAUUUCCAAAGUAGCGGCGAGCGAAAUGGAAAGAGGCCAAACCGGAGUGCGUGCAUUCCGGGGUUCGGACCGCAUAAUUGAUUCAAUGAUUCUAGCAGAACUGUUUUGGGAAAGCAGGCCGCAGAGGGUGAAAGCCCCGUAAGCGAAAGGAGAAUUGACAUGGCGGUAUCCAGAGUACAUCGAGACACGAGAAACCUUGAUGGAAUGAGCGGGGACCACCCCGUAAGCCUAAAUACUACUUAGUGACCGAUAGCGCAUAGUACUGUGAAGGAAAGGUGAAAAGGACCCCGGGAGGGGAGUGAAAGAGAACCUGAAACCCUGUGUUUACAAGCUGUGGAAGACCCUUAUGUGGUCAACCGCGUACUUUUUGUAGAACGGUCCGGCGAGUUACGGACACUGGCAAGGUUAAGUGCUUAAGGCACGGAGCCGAAGGGAAACCAAGUCUUAACAGGGCAUAAAGUCAGUGUACGUAGACCCGAAACCGGGUGAUCUAUCCAUGUCCAGGUUGAAGUUGCCGUAAAAGGCAAUGGAGGACCGAACGCACAUCCGUUGAAAAGGGUGGCGAUGAGGUGUGGAUAGGGGAGAAAUUCCAAUCGAACCCGGAGAUAGCUGGUUCUCCUCGAAAUAGCUUUAGGGCUAGCCUCGUUUUAGUCUUAUGGAGGUAGAGCACUGAAUUUCCGCGGGGGCGUCAAAGCUUACCAAAGAAUAUCAAACUCCGAAUGCCAUGUAGAUGAUGAACGGGAGUCAGACUGCACGAGAUAAGUUGGGUAGUCAAAAGGGAAAGAGCCCAGACCACCAGCUAAGGUCCCAAAGUGUGUGUUAAGUGGAAAAGGAUGUGGGAUUUCGAAGACAACUAGGAUGUUGGCUCAGAAGCAGCCAUUCAUUCAAAGAGUGCGUAACAGCUCACUAGUCGAGAGGUCCUGCGCCGAAAAUGUCCGGGGCUGAAACACAACACCGAAGCUGUGGAAUGUAGUAAUACAUUGGUAGAGGAGCAUUCUUAAUACCGACGAAGCUGUACCGGAAGGAGCAGUGGAGGGAUAAGAAGAGAGAAUGCCGGAAUGAGUAGCGAGAGGAAGGUGAGAAUCCUUCCGGCCGAAUAUCUAAGGUUUCCAGAGUAAAGCUGAUCUGCUCUGGGUAAGUCGGGGCCUAAGGCGAGGUCGAAAGACGUAGUCGAUGGAUAACAGGUUUAGAUUCCUGUACUGCGUAUCAUCAGAAAUGUGGGGACGCAUGUGGAAAGCACGAGCCGGGAAUGGAAAGACCGGUACAAGCGAGGGAGGUGUACGGCUGGCAAAUCCGCCGUAUAAGCCAAAAGCGUGAAGUGGAGCGAAAUAAAAGUAGCGAAGCGUGUGAGCCAUGUGCCGAGAAAAGCCGCUAUUGUGUGAUAUGUACCCGUACCGCAAACCGACACAGGUAGAUGAGGAGAGAAUCCUAAGGCCGACGGAAGAAGUAUUGUUAAGGAAUUCGGCAAAAUGUCCCCGUAACUUCGGGAGAAGGGGAGCCCACGAGAGUGGGCCGCAGAGAAUAGGCUCAAGCAACUGUUUAGCAAAAACACAGGUCUAUGCGAAACCGAAAGGUGAUGUAUAUGGGCUGACGCCUGCCCGGUGCUGGAAGGUUAAGAGGAGAGGUUAGAGCAAUCGAAGCUUUGAAUUUAAGCCCCAGUAAACGGCGGCCGUAACUAUAACGGUCCUAAGGUAGCGAAAUUCCUUGUCGGGUAAGUUCCGACCCGCACGAAAGGCGUAAUGAUUUGAGCACUGUCUCGACAAUACAUCCGGUGAAAUUGAAGUACCAGUGAAGAUGCUGGUUACCCGCGCCAGGACGGAAAGACCCCAUGGAGCUUUACUCCAGUUUGGUACUGGGAUUCGGUACUGCAUGUACAGGAUAGGUGGGAGACUAAGAAACUUGAACGCCAGUUUGAGUGGAGUCGCUGUUGGGAUACCACCCUUGCAGUAUUGGGUUUCUAACCUGUCACCGUGAUCCGGUGAAGGGACAAUGCCAGGCGGGGAGUUUGACUGGGGCGGUCGCCUCCGAAAGGG
rnacentral:rRNA from 1 species